rnacentral:rRNA from 1 species
AGUGAACGCUGGCGGUAGGCCUAACACAUGCAAGUCGAACGGCAACACAGUAAGAUCUUGCUCUUACGGGUGGCGAGUGGCGGACGGGUGAGGAAUACAUCGUAAUCUACUUUUUCGUGGGGGAUCACGUAGGGAGACUUACGCUAAUACCGCAUACGACCUACGGGUGAAAGCAGUGGAUCUUCGGACCUUGCGCGAUUGAAUGAGCCGAUUUCGGAUUAGCUAGUUGGCGGGGUAAAGGCCCACCAAGUCGACGAUACGUAGCUGGUGUGAGAGGAGGAUCGGCCACACUGGAACUGAGACACGGUCAAGACUCCUACGAGAGGCAGCAGUGGGGAAUAUUGGGCAAUGGGCGCAAGCCUGAUACAGCCAUACCGCGUGGGUGAAGAAGGCCUUCGGGUUGUAAAGCCCUUUUGUGGGGAAAGAAAAGCAGCAGGUUAAUACCCCGCUGUUCUGACGGUACCCAAAGAAUAAGCACCGGCUAACUUCGUG